rnacentral:misc_RNA from 1 species
UGGUCGAACCCCUUAGAAACAAGGUGAGAACUUCCAUCUUUUGUUAGUGAAGACUUUUUAAUUUAUAACAAAUGAACUUAAUUUAAUUGUUCUGCACAUAAGUUUUGCAAAGCAAAUUCAUGAUAUAUUUUAUUAUUGGCAAAUGCUUUUCAUUUGCUAUAUGCACAAUUUCCUUUGAAACAGUUGGAUUAUCAUAGCGUAAGUUCUCUACCAAAUAUGUUUCACUUGGGCUGAUAAUUGUGAAUUUUCCCCCCUUAGUUCCUGUUUGUAACUGUUUUUGGUUUAAUGAUGAAUAAUUUUUAAUUCAUGUUUGCUUUAGGCUGAUUAUUGACCAAAUCAUAAGAUUUUUCUUUAUGAUGUUCUUGUACUUUAACAUGAACAAAUUUCAUGUGGGGGACAGCUUAAUUUUCUUUAUUGCUUCUACAGAUUACCGAAUGCUCC